GACGAACGCUGGCGGCGUGCUUAACACAUGCAAGUCGAACGGAAAGGCCCUGCUUUUGUUGGGUGCUCGAGUGGCGAACGGGUGAGUAACACGUGAGUAACCUCCCCUUGACUUUGGGAUAACUUCAGGAAACUGGGGCUAAUACCGGAUAGGAGCUCCUGCUGCAUGGUGUGGGUUGGAAAGUUUCGGCGGUUGGGGAUGUACUAGCGGCUUAUCAGCUUGUUGGUGGGGUAGUGGCUUACCAAGGCUUUGACGGGUAGCCGGCCUGAGAGGGGGACCGGCCACAUUGGGACUGAGGGACGGCCCAGACUCCUACGGGAGGCAGCAGUGGGGAAUAUUGCACAAUGGGCGGGAGCCUGAUGCAGAGACGCCGGGUGCGGGAUGACGGGCUUCGGGUUGUAAACCGCUUUCGCCUGUGACGAAGCGUGAGUGACGGUAAUGGGUAAAGAAGCACCGGCUAACUACGUG
rnacentral:rRNA from 1 species